UUUUUUCUUUAAAUGUAAACUCUUUAUCAGACUAUAUAUAUAAAAGGUUUUUCUUAAAAUUAUGGCUAUCCACUGACAUGACUCCAAGCCCUAGAGUGUUAACAACGAGGUUUGGAGGGUAAAUAUAUAUACCAGUCUAGUGGAAGCAACAUGGAAUAGAUACACAAGGGAGAUGGAAAAGUAUUUCAAAAAAAAAAUGAAUUUUUUUGAUAAUGAUCCUUCCGCAGGUUCACCUACGGAAA
rnacentral:misc_RNA from 1 species